GGGAGAGUGGCCGAGCGGUCAAAAGCGACAGACCGUAAAUCUGUUGAAGGUUUUCUACGUAGGUUCGAAUCCUGCCACUCCCA
rnacentral:tRNA from 1 species